AGCACGGGUGCUUGCACCUGGUGGCGAGUGGCGAACGGGUGAGUAAUGCGUCGGAACGUACCGAGUAAUGGGGGAUAACGCAGCGAAAGUUGUGCUAAUACCGCAUACGCCCUGAGGGGGAAAGUGGGGGACCGCAAGGCCUCACGUUAUUCGAGCGGCCGACGUCUGAUUAGCUAGUUGGUGAGGUAACGGCUCACCAAGGCGACGAUCGGUAGCUGGUCUGAGAGGACGAUCAGCCACACUGGGACUGAGACACGGUCCAGACUCCUACGGGAGGCAGCAGUGGGGAAUUUUGGACAAUGGGCGAAAGCCUGAUCCAGCCAUUCCGCGUGAGUGAAGAAGGCCUUCGGGUUGUAAAGCUCUUUCGGCAGGAACGAAACGGUGAGGUCUAAUACGCCUUACUAAUGACGGUACCUGAAGAAGAAGCACCGGCUAACUACGUGCCAGCAGCCGCGGUAAUACGUAGGGUGCGAGCGUUAAUCGGAAUUACUGGGCGUAAAGCGUGCGUAGGCUGCUUGAUAAGUCAGACGUGAAAUCCCUCGGCUCAACCGGGGAACUGCGUUUGAUACUGUCGAGCUAGAGUCCUGGAGAGGGUGGCGGAAUUCCUGGUGUAGGAGU
rnacentral:rRNA from 1 species